rnacentral:lncRNA from 1 species
GUAUGACCUAGAACAGCAAAAAGAUAUUUCUUUAAUACAUAGUAUGUUAAAAGUCUGGAAACAAAUAAAAUCUGUACGUAGACAGCAAGAAUAUACAAGUACACCUGUAAAAUUACAGUUUCAAAAAAGGCUGACCAAGAAAAAUAAUGAGGAUGAAUAUAAGGUAGGAUUAGCACAAGAUGCUGAAAAAGGCAGAUGGCUGGAAGGAGAAGAUAAUAUUGAUAACCCUGACAAUAUUUCAGAGACCUGGGGAAAACAGAAGUUCCUCCAUUGGUGAGUUCAACACAACUUGCAGAGAUAAAGGAACCUCUUUUCAUACCACAUCUCACUUUGACUGCAGAAAUAACAGCAGUGUC